CAAAGGUGGGGUAGGAGUUGUUAGCUUUUAUCUACCAUUUAAAAAUGAAAAAGGAGAAAAUGGGAUUAUUCUGCCAAUUGUGCUGCCUGCUCAAGCAAUGGAGAGAUUUAUAAUGGAGCUUAAGGGUAUUUUAGAGAACCUAUCCAUUGGUGGCGGGACCACUAAAUCUGCCUUGUAGAUGUGAAAGGAAGGCGAAGGUGUUGCUAUUUAAAACUAAAAAUUCUAAAAUUAUGUUGGAUGAUUUAUAGAAUAAUAAAAUAAAUAUAUAGUGUAAUGCAGAAAUUUAUGAAUUUAUGUGCAAUAUCUCUGUCAACAAAAUCUCAAGAUAUAUAUAAUAAUAAAUCUUGAAUAAUAAUAACUUAGAUCUAUAUAAAAAAUAUAUAUAGAUUUGAUUAACGAGUGUUGAAAUGAAUGGUUCGUCACCCUUUUCCUUUAAGUGAGGUCGAAUAUUUAAUCUUCAUGAUGGGGCAAAUACUCAUCGUAAGUGGAGAUAUCUAUGGGUAAAAAAAAAUAAAAAAAAAAUAAAAAUUUGAACUUUGUUUGAGAGGGAGAGAGAGAGGGCUUAUUAAACUAAACUUAAUUAAACUCCAUGAAGAACAAAAAGAUAGCUAACAAGUUAAAUUAAGGGAUGAUGACAAAGUAUUUACUUGAAAUUAAGGAGAGUAUUUUUUUUUUUAUCAGCAAUCAUCCCUUUUAUUAGACUAAUAAUAAAAAGAAAAGAAACUUACUAAAACUGAGUGAAACUAAACCCCAGUCAGCAGACUUCUUCGAUACACUAAAAAAAUCUAAUGCUUAGAAUUGAUAAGAAAAAUCUAUAUAUAGAGAAAACUAAGAAAACUUCUCUUAAGGUAAAAGAUGAAAACUAAAAGAGAGUAAAAAUCAACAUAAACCCAAACAUUAUGUUGAUUAAAACAUGCCAAAAACGGGAAUUCAGCGUCAAUACCUUUCUUAGCCAAUGUAUCUGCAAAAUGAUUUCCACUUCUUCCAACGUGAACAAAUUGUAUUACAUUAAUUUGCAAAAUAAUUUAUGCGAACUUAUUGAACUUUUCCCACUAUUUCUAUUGGUUCUUAUUUUUUUGAAUUAUCCAACAUAAAGCAUUUUUAGAGUCAGAUUCCAUAAUUAAUGGAAAUGUUUUAAAAUCUGAAUUCCAAAACAUCUCAAACUGUUGUGAAGAUAGUAAAUAGUUCAGUCUCAUUAGAGUCUAGUAUCCCCAACUAAUUGAUAGAAAAUACAAACUAACUUGACCAAUAUUGUUUCUUAAAACACCCCAUAGCUGCUUCCCCCGGCUUGCCUAGAGAAGCCAUCAACAUUAAAUUUGUAACAACCUUCGGGACCCCAGACCCAACCUAUAACGCUUCUUCUAAUCCCCACCUGCAUCCCGAGGAGAGUAAUAACCAUAUUCAAAUUUGAAAUUAAUAGCCAUAUUCAUAGCUUCUUCUAGAUACCUAGAGUUACUGUUUAAGGUUGGAUUUGGCCAAGUAGUUAAUCAAAUUUGAAAUUAAUAACCAUAUUCAUAGUUCUCGCAGUAUUUUCCUUAAUUUAGUAUAUAAUUUAUAAGAAUUGGUGAAAUUCGGGCUGAAACCAUUACCAGUAAUAGCUAAGUGGUGUCAGUGUCAAGGUAAAAUAAAUCUAAAUUGAUAUAUUAUAAUGAAAUCAUCGAUUGAUAUUAUGAAUAUUUUAUCUUAUUUUUAGCAAAAUUUUAUUUUAUUACAUUUUGAAUAUUCAAUAUUUCGAAUAAUUAAAUCAUUAGCUAACUUAGGUAUAUCAACUAUUUAUUAUCUUAAUUCAGAAUUUGAAUUUUAGAGAAGGUAAUAACUAUUUUCUAAAAUAAAAUAUAAAAAUAAAUAGAUAACAAAAAUAUAAUAUUUAUCUUAAAAUAAGCUAGUAUUAUUUUUCUUAAAAAUUCAUUCUUGUGACUAAUAUUCUAAUGCGUCGUUCUUUUUGCGAGUAUCAUCGAGUUGAGCAUCAAUUUGGUCUUCAAUAAUCUCCUAUAAAAUUAUUUAAAAAAAAAUAAAGUAGCACAACAGUUAUACAUAAAACAAUUAUUAGGCCAAUAAGAACAUAUUCUUUUUAGCAAAAUAAAAAAUUAUUAUUAUUAUUCAUAUAGUUAUCAAAUCAAUAUAUUAAAUUAUUUUUAUUUUUUCAAUGAUCUAUAAAUUUAGUAGAGUGUAUAUACUAAUUAAAGAAUUUAUAUUUAAAUGGAAAACUAAUAACCAAUCAAAAUAAAAUUACCUUUAUUUUUUCAACCAAUAGAAUUAAAAUCUUUUAAAAUAUUUUUAUCAAUCUAUAAAUUUAAUUAGAGCAUUUUAAAAAUUCAAUGUUCCUCCAUUUGUAUUUUUAUAUAUAUAUUAGUGUUUUUUGUUAUGUUUUUUUUUUUUAUCAGCAAAUGAAAUAUUUUAUUAAUUUUAUAACAUACACAGGAUAAAUUUAACAUUCAAAGACAACUAGACUUAAGCCAUGAGGCUUACCCAAAAAAACUCCAAACCUAUCCUAUGAAUGUUAAGUGAAAAGGCUUACCCAAAAAACUCCAAACCUAUCCUAUGAAUGUUAAGUGAAAAAUCUCCAAAAGUCUUAAUGAAAAUAGAAAUUAUUUUUAAAAUUAUUAUACUUCAUUUUUUCUAUCAGAAAUAUUCCCUUUUCAAAAGAAAAAAAAAAAAAAUCAUCGUAUAAAAACGUGUUACACGUUAUCUUGUGAGUUUAUUGUGCGGUGGAAAAUUGUCAUGUGACUAUCUUCUUCUCCUCCUAUAAAUAAAUGCACAUCGCCAUGCCAAGGUCACCUAUCUAUAGAGCUGUGUCUUUCUACUUGAUUACUAACUUGGUGUUCGUUUUCUGCCUAAUUAAUGGCACCAUCUGCGCCCAUUUUCAAGGUUCAGAGGUGUGAACCGGAACUAAUCACACCUCCAAAGCCUACCCCUCAUGAGUUCAAGCCAUUAUCGGACAUUGAUGAUCAAGAAGGUCUUCGAAUCCAGAUCCCAUUCAUACAAAUUUAUCGUCAUGACCCCUCAAUGGAAGGGAAAGACCCUGUUCAGGUUAUUAGAAAUGCUAUUGCUAAAGCUCUUGUUUUUUACUAUCCAUUCGCUGGCAGGCUUAGAGAAGGGCCUAACCGUAAGCUCAUUAUGGAGUGCAAUGGUGAAGGUGUUUUGUUUAUUGAAGCUGAUGCUAAUGUUAGUCUUGAUCAGUCCGGCGAUGCUCUUCAGCCUCCAUUUCCUUUCUUGGAUGAGCUCCUUUUUGAUGUGCCUGGCUCUAGUGGGAUACUUCAUUGCCCUGUCAUACUGAUUCAGGUAAGUUCUUAACAAGUUUCGGUUCAGUAGCACUGAAAACUGAAAUUGUUUCCAAAACCCUUAGCAGGUAAAUUUUAAUUAAAACCUAAUUGAGCCUUAUUCCUAAAUGAAAUAAUACAAAGAAAUUUUUGUUUGUUUUGGCAGAUCACACGGUUUAAAUGUGGUGGUUUCACAUUUGCUAUCCGUCUCAAUCAUACCUGAGUGAUGGUCCUGGUCUAGCUCAGUUCUUGUCAGCCAUAGCCGAGAUGGCGCGUGGACGACAAUCCCCUUCUAUUUUCCCAGUAUGGGAAAGACAUGUACUUGAUGCAAGAAACCCACCCCAUGUGACCUGCAUACACCGUGAAUAUGACCACAUAGAAAAUGGCCAAGGAAUUCCAUUUCCACUUGAUGACAUAGUUCAUAGAUCCGUUUUUGUUAGCCCUUCUGCUUUAUCUACUCUUCGUAGUAGAUAUAUUCCUCCUCAUCUUCCUCGUUGCACUGAUGUUGAAAUAUUAACUGCAUGUUUAUGGAAAUGUCGCACUAUUGCGCUUCAGCCAGACGCCGGACAAGAAAUGCGAAUCAUAUUAGUUAACAACGCGCGCAAGUUUAAUCCUCCUCUAUUACCAGAAGGGUAUUACGGUAACGGAUUUGUCCUGUCAACGGCAGUCGCGACUGCCGGAGAAAUUUCCAAGAAUCCAAUAGGUUAUGGACUAGAACUGAUAAGAAAGGCUAAAAUGGAAUUCGAUAUAGAGUAUAUAAAAUCGGUGGCAGAUCUACUCGUGAUUAAGGGUAGGCCUCAUUUUGCUGCAGAAGGUACUUACCUUGUGUCGGAUCUGAGACAUGUAUAAGAUAAUGUAUAGUGUAAACAGAAUCAUUAUUAUUUAUAGUAACUUUAUAUAUGCCUAUCAUAUCCCGUAACUGUGGGAUCAUCCCGUAAUUGUGGGAUCACAGCUAUAGGCUGAAUGUAUAUAUAUAUACUGUCAUCUUCCUCUGUGAAGAAAUAGAAGAAUACCUAAUUCUCAUAUCACUUCUAUAUGGUAUCAGAGCCGUAAACCUAACGGUCUCUCUAUUUUUUUUUUCUUCUCUUUUGGUCAUUGACCUGCAAUUGAUUUUUAUCUCUUUCGAUGGCUAUCCAUGAUGAUACCCCAUCUGACACUAGCACCCCAACUGUUAUUCCGCCCUCACCUACCUCUAAUAUCCAACUAAAUGAUACCAAUCAGUUAAUCUCCAUUAACGCUGCUGCACAAGCUCCACUCAAAUUGACUGCCAUGAACUACAUGUCAUGGUACACACAAUGGUAUUCCCUCCUUAUUGGAUAUGACUUUCUUAAAAUUGUUGCAAAGCCACUUACAGCAGAUCUGAGUGCCAAUUCCUACUGGAUCCGACAGGAUCAACUUAUUCGGAGUGCCCUUAUCGCGUCACUCUCUCCCGAAAUCGUUUCAUUUGUUAUUGGCGAGAAUACAUCUCAUGAGGUAUGGCAGACUCUGCAUAACAUGUACUCGAAACCUUCUCAAGGACGCAUCAUGAGUUUGCGGGAAUCUUUACUCACCAUCAAGAAAGGCACGAUGUCUGUGACCAGUUAUUUGCAAAAGGUAAAAUCCAUCACUUCUACCCUUGCUAUAGCUGGUGUCAACAUUCUUAUGCCAGAAACAGUCCUGUAUGUAUUACAUGGCUUACCACCUGAAUAUAAGGAGGUAGCUGCUGCAUUACGAGCAAGAGAAACUCCGGUUACAUUCGAGGAGCUUCAUGAAAAAUUGACAGACUUCGAAACUCAGCUGGAGCGUGACACUAUCUCUGCCAUUCCGCCAACCACAGUCCACUACACCAACAAUCGGUCACAGACCAAUCGCCAUAACUCUGGAGGUCCCUCGAUGCCAAAUUCUGGACAAAUUUAUCAAAGCUCCAAUCGAAAAAAUUCUGGAUCGCGAGUAGUUUGCCAGUACUGUGACAUUCCUGGUCAUGUUAUGAAGCAAUGCAGAAAGUUAAAGAAAAAGUGCCCAUGGCUGGUUAACUCACUCAAUUCAUAUGCACCUAAACCUCAAGCAAACUGUGCUACUACAGGCUCGACAACGGACUCUUCAUGGUUGCUUGACUCUGGUGCAAACCAACAUGUCACUCAUGAUUUGCAGAAUCUGUCGCUACACUCUGAAUAUGACGGGUCUGAUGAUGUUCUUCUCGGUGAUGGUACUGCACAUCCAAUCACACACACUGGUUCUGCCUCUCUCAAAACCUCUUCUCGACCUUUACUUUUGACAAAUGUGCUGUGUGUUCCUGGACUUCAUAAGAAUUUAAUCUCUGUUUAUCAAUUCUGUGUCCAAAAUAAUGUUGAGAUUGCUUUUAACCCAUCUCUAUUUAAUGUGAAGGAUUUAUGCACGGGGAAAAUUCUGGUGGAAGGAAAGCCAAGUGAUGGUGUGUAUAUGUGGCCCUCAAAUGCAUCCUCCAUGUGUCGACCGGAAGGUUCGAACACUACUGCUCUUACACACUCUGUUUGGCACAAGAGGCUUGGACACCCUGCCACUCCAAUUUUACGGUUGCUUAGUUCAUCCAUUAAAUUGCCUUUUGCUAUUGAUAAUAAGUAUUUUUGUGACUCUUGUAAGUGCAAUAAAAUGCACAAACAACCUUUUGCUGAGUCUACAAUGCACAGCACUGAGGCUCUUCAACUAAUUUAUUCGGAUGUUUGGGGACCAGCCCCUGUUUCUUCCAUUGAUGGGUUUCAGUAUUAUUUGCUAUUUGUUGAUCAUUAUACGAAGUAUGUUUGGUUAUAUCCCAAAAUAGUGGGAUGGCAGUGGUGGUGAGCCAUGCUUCUUUCAAAAUUUUCUUCAUCUUUAAUGCUAUUGCUCUCUUUACUUCAUUGGCUGUUGUGGUGGUUCAAAUAACACUUGUUAGAGGUGAGACAAAAGCAGAGAGACGCGUAGUGGAGGUGAUCAACAAAUUAAUGUGGUUGGCUUCUGUGUGCACGUCAGUUGCAUUUAUAGCCUCAUCUUAUAUAGUGGUUGGCCGGAAACAUGAGUGGGCUGCUAUUUUGGUUACAGUUGUAGGGGGAGUUAUAAUGGCUGGUGUUCUUGGCACUAUGACUUACUAUGUGGUGAAAUCCAAAAGGAUUCGACCAAUGAGGAAGAAGGACAAGCAUGCACGAAGGAGUGGAUCCACCUCAUGGCAGCACUCGGACUUCUCCAACUCAGAAGUUGAUAGAAUUUUCGCCCUUUAAUGUGUGAAGAUUAAAAUUUUUGGCUAAUCUUAUGAUUGUAGAGCAAAACAAUGAAUGAAACCAUUGUAGUUAAAUAUAAAAUGGUGUCUCCUAAUAUUUCUUUGAUGUUAAAUAUUGAAGCAAACGAAGCUACUCCACCAUUGUUGUCCUAUGUGCCUCAUCCUUCACGCAACUCCAUGACACAGCAACCUGCCACCUCAGGUACUUCUCCUGCCCCUACUGAUUCUAAUACUUCUUCCACUAAUUCUGCUGGUGCUUUGCCAAGGGAUUCGGCUGUUGUUCCUCUCAUCACUCACCCAAUGGUCACCCGCAGUAAAAGCAAUAUUCAUAAACCCAUUCAAAAGUUAUGUCUUGCGACUGCUGGACCUUCAUUAUCACAGAUAUCUAUUCCCCCAACUGUUGUGCAGGCUCUCAAAGUUCCUGAGUGGCGUCAGGCCAUGGAAGACGAGGAUGCUGCUUUUAUAAAUCAGCUCAGCAUACAUGGACACUUGUUCCGUCUACUUCAGCUGAGAAUUUGGUGAGCUGUAAAUGGCUUUUUCGGGUAAAAACUGAUUCUGCAGGUACUCCUAUCCGGUACAAAGCUAGGUUGGUUGCUCGUGGUUUCACUCAAAGGCCCGGUUUGGAUUUUGAUCAAACAUUCUCUCCAGUUGCCAAGCACACAACAAUUCGACUUGUUCUCACCAUUGCUGUCACUCGUGGUUGGAAAUUACGGCAAGUCGAUGUGAAUAACGCCUUUCUCCAUGGCAAACUCACAGAAACAGUGUUCAUGCAACAACCACCGGGAUUUAUUGACAGUACAAACCCCUCUUAUGUUUGUCGUCUCAAUAAAUCCCUCUACGGUCUCAAGCAAGCUCCACGUGUUUGGUAUUCUGCAUUACAACAGUAUCUAAAGGACCUCGGAUUUGCUAACUCCCACUCGGAUAAUUGUUUUUUCAUAUACUCGAAGGGUCAAGUGCUCAUUUAUGUUGUUGUCUACGUUGAUGACAUCAUUAUUACCGGUAAUCAACCUACGGAUGUGGAGGCUUUUAUUCUCAAACUUGGCUCUCAGUUUUCACUUAAGGACUUGGGUGACUUACAGUAUUUUCUAGGGGUUGAGGUCACCCACCUACCCACGGGGGUGUUUCUUUCUCAACAAAACUACAUGAGGGAAAUUUUGGAAAAGGCAAAAAUGGAAGGAGCCAAUCCAGUUAACACACCCCUGUCUCCGACAACAUCUCUCUUUCUUGAUGACUCUGCUCACUUUUCCAAUGCCUCUGCGUAUCGAGCUCUACUUGGCAGUCUACAAUACUUGCUUUUGACUCGACCGGACAUCUGUUAUGUCGUCAAUAAAUUGUCCCAAUUUAGCUCUCAUCCUAUAGUCAACCAUUGGGCAGCUCUAAAAAGGCUUCUUCGGUAUCUUGUUGGCACAUUUGAUUUUGGCAUUUUUCUGCAUAGACAGUCGUCUCUUGACUUGCAUGCUUUCUCCGACUCUGAUUGGGCGGGUAACCGAGAUGACCGCACCUCUACUAGUGCUCACAUCUUAUACUUGGGACGUAAUCCGAUUGCUUGGAGCUCGAAGAAACAAAAGACAGUGGCGAGAUCGUCCACUGAAGCGGAAUAUAGAUCAGUAGCGAACACAUCUGCUUAGCUUUCGUGGGUUAUGAAUACUCUCACUGAUUUAAAGAUUUCUACUUUGCAUCCACCAGUGGUCUACUGUGACAAUCUUAGUGCUACAUAUGUAGCUGCCAACCCAGUCUUUCACUCCAAAAUGAAACAUAUAGCUAUCGACUAUCACUUUGUUCGGACUCAAGUUCAAGAAGGGAAACUUCGAGUUGCACAUGUCAAGUCUGAGGAUCAACUUGCGGAUCUGCUCACCAAGGCACUCCCCACGUCCCAAUUUCUCAAAAAUAGAGACAAGAUUGGCGUUACUCCAAGAUCCGCCAUCUUGCGGGGGUGUAUAAGAUAAUGUAUAGUGUAAACAGAAUCAUUAUUAUUUAUAGUAACUUUAUAUAUGCCUAUCAUAUCCCGUAACUGUGGGAUCAUCCCGUAAUUGUGGGAUCACAGCUAUAGGCUGAAUGUAUAUAUAUCUACUGUCAUCUUCCUCUGUGAAGAAAUAGAAGAAUACCUAAUUCUCAUAUCACUUCUAUAACAUGCAGGGUUUAAAGAAGUCGAUUUUGGAUGGGGCAAAGCAAUCUAUGGCGGGCCUGCGAAAGCCAUUCCUUUAGUAGCAAGCGUUUACGUGCCCUUUGAACGUAAGAAAGGUGAAAAGGGAAUCGUAAUUCCAAUUUGUCUGCCAGCCCAAGCAAUGGAACGAUUUGUGAAGGAGCUGAAGAAUCUGUUGGACGAUAACACAGUUAUUGAUGUGAAUAGAUCCUCCCUUAUUAUGUCUGCUUUGUAGGUUAAGUGGUAAUAUUGUUGUUAUUUGUAAUGGACCCGUUUAGGCAAAUAAUUUCCAUAAUGGACUUUAUGAAGCAGAAAUGUAUUUACUUUAAAUUAAAUUAGUAUAGAUUUUAUAAAUACUUUACAGUGCAUUAAUGAAGGGCAAUCUGGAAAUUCUUCAAUUUCACUUGCUUUCAGCUUUGAAGUGUACGUAGAUAUGUGGUUUACUUAAUUUUUUAUCAAUAGCUUUUUAUUUUUUUUAAUCAUUCAUUUAAUAAAUACUUAAUUAAUUUAAUUUUACAAGUUAAAAUAUAUAAGAUGUAAUUUUAUAAAUUAAAAUAUUAAAUAAUCAAAAUAAAAAUUGAAAAUGCUAAAAAAUUAAAAUAAUAAAAUUCAAGAGUAAAUUUUAAAUAAAGAUGAAUGAUAUUUUUGAAUAUGUUAACGUACUGUACAAGAGAGAGAUAUAUAUACUUAUCCAUUUUAUUAAUUAUUGUUGGUUCAAGGAUCAAUUUUAUUUUGAAAUUUUGAUGAUUAUACAAAAUAAAUAAAUUUAAUAUUCUUGUAUGUGAUAAUAUUAUUUUAUGCAGAUUUUUAAAAUAUAAAAAUUAUUGAAGAAAUGAAGUUCCUACAACCCAAUAUUUUUAUUUGAAGACCAUGAAGAUAUUUUCUAUUGGUUAGUAUUAUAAUAAGUCUUAGGAAAUUAUUGUAGGAUAGAGAGUAAAUAAUUUUAUAAGCAUAAAUUUAUUUUAUAUCCGUCUCAAAAUUGUUUUGAAAUAUUUUUUUUUUAAAUUUAUUAAGAGGAUAUAGCCAAAAUUUUUACUCUUCACGUUUUCCCAACUAAAAUAUUUUUGGAGUAAAUAUUCUUGGCGGCUAUUAAAUGAAAUUCUGCAAAAACAUUUUCUGAUCUAAAAAGCAGUUUCUGAUUUAAUACAGCUGUUUGUUUCUAAUACAGCUGGCUUUUUCUGCUGUAAAAGUUACACUGUUUUCUAAACUAAACAUUUCACCUCCAAACAUUUCGUGUGUGAAUAUUAAAUAUGGUCUGACAGCCCUUUUAAUUACAACCCAUGCAUUACCUCUUUAGUUAAAAAUGUCAGAAACUUUAUUGUUCAUUAAAGCAAUAAUCUCAACGUUAACUUCAAAAGAGAAUAUCAUCGUUUCAUAUAAAAAACAUUUCCUCUUGAAAAAAGAAAGGGUUUUGCAAAGAGUACGAGUCCAUUAUUCAAAAUUUAAAUCUCUCAAAAAUCUCUCUUCAAUCCCUCUAUUUCUUUUCGUCGUUUUGUUUCAAGAAAAAUUUUUAAGAGAAUAGAAAAUUUAUUAAUAAUAUUUUCUAAAAAAACAGUUCUGAUCUUUAAAUCUGUUUUCUAAAUUCGUUUUCUGUUCUUCCUGUACUUAUAUUUGCAUUUCUCUCUGUCUAUAUAAAUUUUGUAAUCUGUUAUAGACAUACUCUUUAUUUGAAAAACUUUUGUAAUAGCUUAGGUGAAAAGUUAUGGUGUAAUAGGUUAUCAAGCGACCUUCUCCUUGUAUGAGAUUCUAAUGUUAUGAUUUGAAUUUCUGUUCUCUACAAAAACAGAAAGGGUUGAGGUUGACUGGAACCUUUGAAAAAUCUAGUGGGAUAAAUAUUAGAUCUAGGUGUUGAUCUAUUUUCUUAUAUUGUUGGUUUUUCUCUUACCCUUGAAAAGAGAUAACAUAGUAGAGGAUCUUAAGAUGCAUCUUGGGGAGUGGAUGUAAGGGAGUUAGUGCCGAACCACUAUAAAUAUCUAUGUUUAUCUUCUUUUACUUUCUGAAGUUCUACUUGCUUGUAUUCUAUUUAUACAACUUUAAUCUGUUUAUAAACGGGAUCCACAAUUAUUUUACGAUGGGCAAGAGUUGUUAGCUUUUAUCUACCAUUUAAAAAUAAAAAAAAGGAGAAAAUGGGAUUAUUCUGCCAAUUGUGUUGCCUGCUCAAGCAAUGGAGAGAUUUAUAAUGGAGCUUAAGAGUAUUUUAGAGAACCUAUCCAUUGGUGGCGGUACCACUAAAUCUGCCUUGUAGAUGUGAAAGGAAGGUGAAGGUGU
rnacentral:lncRNA from 1 species